rnacentral:rRNA from 1 species
AUGCUAGUAAAAUUUACAUCUAAUUGCUUUGCUGUAAUGAAAAUGUGCAUCUACUGUUACACUUUAUCUUGUUUCCAACGCAGUAAAUUUUUGCUUCCAUUGACGAGACAAUUUGCUUCAGUUGGAAUCGAAAUUUGGUUGGGCCUAACAAAAGAUUAUGUUCAAGAACUAUGCUUCCAUGUAACAAAUUUGUGUGUAAAAAAGUUAUGUUUCUACAUUGGUAAAUUGGAGCCCACAUAUAUUUUCUAUAAUGUUUCCAAUAGAAGAAACUUUUCUUCCAUCAGUUACAAAAGUGUUUCUAUUGUAAAACUGAUAUGCUUCUAA